CAGGGGAGCUUGCUCCCGCUGACGACCGGCGCACGGCCCCUAUUAAGCGUAUGGAACCUACCUCAAUCAGGGGGAUAGCCCCCUUUUAAUUGGAUUAAUACCCCAUAGUAUUAUUUGAUUGCAUGAUUGAAUAAUUAAAGGUUACGGAUUGAGAUGGCCAUGCGUAUCAUUAGCUAGUUGGUAAGGUAACGGCUUACCAAGGCAACGAUGAUUAGGGGCCCUGAGAGGGGGAUCCCCCACACUGGUACUGAGACACGGACCAGACUCCUACGGGAGGCAGCAGUGAGGAAUAUUGGACAAUGGUCGCAAGACUGAUCCAGCCAUGCCGCGUGCAGGAUGACUGCCCUAUGGGUUGUAAACUGCUUUUGUACGAGAAGAACACCCUCUUCGUGAAGAGGACUGACGGUAUCGUACGAAUAAGGACCGGCUAACUCCGUGCCAGCAGCCGCGGUAAUACGGAGGGUCCGAGCGUUAUCCGGAAUCAUUGGGUUUAAAGGGUCCGUAGGCGGGCUAUUAAGUCAGAGGUGAAAUUGUGCAGCUCAACUGUAGAACUGCCUUUGAUACUGAUAGUCUUGAGUUAUGGUGAGGUAGCCGGAACAUGUGGUGUAGCGGUGAAAUGCAUAGAUAUCACAUAGAACGCCGAUUGCGAAGGCAGGUUACCAACCAUAUACUGACGCUGAUGGACGAAAGCGUGGGGAGCGAACGGGAUUAGAUACCCCGGUAGUCCACGCCGUAAACGAUGGAUACUAGCUGUUGGGUUUUCGGACUCAGCGGCCAAGCGAAAGUGAUAAGUAUCCCACCUGGGGGAGUACGUUCGCAAGAAUGAAACUCAAAGGAAUUGACGGGGGCCCGCACAAGCGGUGGAGCAUGUGGUUUAAUUCGAUGAUACGCGAGGAACCUUACCAGGGCUUAAAUGGGAGAUGACAGG
rnacentral:rRNA from 1 species